UCCAAAAACCUAUGAUAUCCAAGUCUUUGACCAAGUUUAAAAGUAGCUGUGUUUCUCCUUCUUCUCUGGUCUGCAGCCUUGCAAACUGUUGGCUGAUUUGUUUUUGUACAGCAACCAUAGCAACGUACAGAGCUGACCAUGAGCCGUAAACAGGUCAGAUGCUGUAAACUGGGCGUAAACUGUGGUAAAAACCCUGAUUGAGAAGUAUAUUCCAAAAGCGCUGUAUACAUGUCCAAAGAAUGCUUCUGAAACCUGAAUAGUACCAGAAUAUCCCACGUCUUAAUCAGAAAAUGCUAUUUUGGGGAAAAAGGCCUUAUUCGGAAUAUCAAACCGGAAUUUGCUGUUUACAUGACCUGUAUCAAAUUUGGAAUACUGUCAUAUUUGGAAUAAGAUUGGAAUAUUGGCGUGCAUGUAAACAUACUCUCUGAUAAGUAAUUGAG